CCGAUGGAAGCGGGAAAUCUUUUUCUUCUUCGCCCAAUCGUCAUCCGAAUAUUCAACCCCAAACAACCACCACCACCCCCUUCCCUUCCUCCUCGUCUCCCCUCCUUCUUCCCGCCCUCCUUUGGGUUUCUUCCAACUUACAGGGGAUCGAAGCCGAGAAGGGAAUGGGUGGCAGACUGGGUAUCAAGAAACGACGAUGCCGUGCGGAGCUUGCCAAUCUACGUCGGCGCCGUCUCUCUGUUGGCUGUUCUCGUCAAUCGCGGCAUUUCGGGCGUAGCUCCUGUUGCCGAUGCCAGUAGUUCACAAUCUAGAGCAGAUCUAUUGACACUUGGUUUGGCAGUAACGAAUAUUCUAGCAGGACUGGUAUGGCUGUCAAUCCGGCCAAAAACUAUAGUAGCGGUAAGUCCUCAAGGCGUGGAGUGUCUGAGGCUAAAUCCCCAACUUCCAGAUUUUGUAAUUUCUGAGUUAAUAUGGAUUUGGGAAUCCCUAUCAGGUGCGACUUGCUGCAGAUAUCUAGUUAUUGUUUAUGAUAGCAAACUUAUCCUUCAAACAGGGGUUGCUGCAUCAUCCUCUGCUAACGACAGGGAAGCAGUGCCUAUCGAUGCCAGUACCUUAAUGCGAGGUGCACUCUACCAAAAUGCUCUAAAUUCGGGGUCACAUAAGAUGAUAUGGACCAACUGCUUAUCUGUUUCAUUUCCUCCUAAUUUUGAUAUGUUUCCAUUUUAAACCUAUGACCUUGAAAAGAUUAUCUCCACAAAUCUAUAUUUCCUGCAAUUUAGAGAGCUACUUGGCAAAUCUCUCUCUUUAUCCUGGGAAGUCAGAACUACCAUUUCUGCCUCCUAAUAUGCAGGCCGUCAUCUUGCAACUGCUUGGAGACAAAGGAAUUGCAAUUAUUGGUGGAGAUGCGAUUAGGGGAUUUACGACUUCUGACCAGGUAAGACCUUGGCAUUAGAAAUUUUGGCUUUCUGUGGUUGUCUACUCUAGCAUCUUUGUGCAGGUUUCACAGCACAAUUAUGUCUCUGUCUUCACCUACAUCUUCUUUUCCUUUUGAUGUUCCAAAUGUUUCAGACGAUUACAACAAGCUCUUGAAGCUUUGUUGUUGUCUCCGACAACAGCCCUCUUCUCUCUUCGUUUUAUCCAGACUGUCGUUCGUCCAGGUCUCUCCUAAUCCUCUCUAUUUUUGGUUGUACACAAUAUGGCAUGUUUGGUUACGGGAUAAUCAUUGUGGUGUUUAAUUUGUUAUCCUUUUAUGGAAAACACGGUAUAUCCUUGUGCAUUGGCCUAUGCGUUUCAAAUGAAAGAGAUAAUCUUUGGCCUCUUUAUUUUCUGCACAUGUCUCAUAUUAAGCAUUUAGAGAAAAUAUGAUAAUAUUGAGGGUGUCAUAGGUGAAAGGCAGAUGCUGAUAUAGCAUGUUUAGGGUUCGAUGUGAAUAAACAUUUGUUGUUCAGUUCACAGGUUCAUACAACUGGCUACGUUGUGCUGUAUUUAUUUUAUUCUCUUCGAGUUGGUUUACUCAUUAUUGAUUUUUUUUUUUUUUUUUCUCUGUGUUUGCUUGAGCAAUUGUAUGUUAAGAAUCAUAUAUAAUACCAAAUUGUGCUGUAGCAGCGGCCCUCAUUGAGUACUAGAUAGGUAUCUGUUUGACCUUACAUUCACCUGUAACCAAAUAUGGGUCUAGCUUCGGUUUAAGAGUGAAGGUGCUUAUAAUUCUUCAUCUGGAUUCUGUCCUUGUGGGAGGUGUCUUAUUAUCAGGAAACUAGUCAUAGAUACAGUUAUGCACCUGGAUAUGAAUUCCUGCUAGUUUUGAUUCAUUCAUUAUCCCCCAGGCCCAGGUGACAAAGAGACUGAAGGAAAUAUACACAUAAACAAUAGUAACACCCCUUCUUCCUAAACUCUGCUUGAUGACGCGAUCUAUGACAAGGGAAGGAAUCACUCUACUGAAACUUUGCCCUCCAUGUACUUUACUUGAAUUGGGCAAGGUCAGAACAUUUCAUCUAAGUCUAUUUUAUCCAUAAUAAAACAAAGAUAAUUGAUUCUGGCCCGCCAUACCUAUCAUGUAUAGAAUGCUUAGUCGAUAUGCUGUAGCAUUAUGUGCAUGACAUACACCAACUACUUCAUAUUGUUUGGGUCUGUUGCUUGUGUAAAUGAUUCACAUUGACUUAGUGAUCUGACUUCUUGGUUACUGCAUUCAUCUUGUGUGGAAAUUGAUGUAGAAUUCUUGAUUCUAUUUGAAAGUAUCUGUGAUUUAAUGUGGCAGGCACUGGAAGUGACAAAGUUGGUGUUAGAUAUAACUAGCAAUAAAAGAACUGAUGAACAGCUCUUAGAGAGGAUGAUGCUAGAGAUUGAAGGGCGGGCCCUUACUAGCCAUUCUCAAUUGCAUUUGGCACAAAUGACGAUAAGGAUACCAACCAAACUCUUUCUGUUAAUUCUUAUAUUGGUUGUGCUAAUGGGUCGACUGACCCAGAAGUUGUGUUGGUUAAAACACAAGAAACUGAUCUUUUGGUGGAGUUGCAUGGAAAAUUUUAUGACAGGAUCCAGUAGGAAGAGACAAGAUCUUAAGCGUACGCUAUGGCUCGGGAAACAUUGCCUGGAUUUAAAGUAUGUGAAGGCUAUACUUUCUUAUCGAACGGUGUAACAAGAUGCGUGAACCUGUCCUCCUUGUUGGUGAAAUGGUGGGCAGGAAGACAACUAUCUGCCAGUUACUUAGCAUCGUGUUAGGUUCCACAUUACAUAUUUUGAACUGCCAUCAAUACACAAAGACAUCUGAUUUUCUUGGGGUUUGUGGCCUUUUAAUCUAAUUUUGGGCUUCCUCACUUCUUGCUAUGUAUUUGUUUCUAUUAUUGUUGCUUGAAAGCGUAUGAUAAAUAUCUGUAAUUGACUAUUAAACAGGUUUUUUUUUUCCUGUACAAGAGAGAUCAAGAUUUGCUUCGGAGUUUAAAAA